GGAGAGAUAGAAAGGAAGGAUGAAGGGAGAUAUAGAGCGAGGGAUGACUGGAGGGAUAGAAGGAGGAUAGAAGGGAGGGAUAGAAAGGAGAGAUAGAAGGGAGGGAUGAAGGGAGAUAUAGAAGGGAGGGGUGAAUGGAGGGAUAGAAGGGAGAGAUAGAAGGGAGGAUAGAAGGGAGGGAUAGAAAGGAGAGAAAGAAGGGAGAGAUAGAAGGGAGGGAUGAAUUGAGGGAUAGAAGGGAGAGAUAGAAGGGAGAGAUAGAAGGGAGGGAGGAAGGAGAUAGAGAAGAGAGAGAGAGAAGGGAGGGAUAGAAGGGAGGGAUGAAGG
ensembl:lncRNA